GACGAACGCUGGCGGCGUGCUUAACACAUGCAAGUCGACGACGCUACUGAGUAGCAAUAUUUAGUAGUGGAGUGGCGCAAGGGUGAGUAAUGUAUACGUAACCAACCCAUCGGAGACGGAUAACAUUUCGAAAGGGAUGCUAAAACGGCAUGAAGCCACGAUUUCGCAUGAGAUUGUGGUUAAAGAACCGGUAACAGGUUGCCGAUGGCUGGGCGUAUAUCCGAUUAGCUAGUUGGUAGUGUAAUGGACUACCAAGGCGACGAUCGGUAGCUGGUCUGAGAGGAUGAUCAGCCACACUGGCACUGAGACACGGGCCAGACUCCUACGGGAGGCAGCAGUGGGGAAUAUUGGGCAAUGCCCGCAAGGGUGACCCAGCAACGCCGCGUGGAGGAUGAAGGCCGUAAGGUUGUAAACUCUGACAAGCAGGGAAGAACGGCUAUGGUAAAAGGCCAUAGAAUGACGGUACCUGCCUGAAGCCCCGGCUAAGUACGUG
rnacentral:rRNA from 1 species